rnacentral:rRNA from 1 species
GAGUUUGAUCCUGGCUCAGGAUGAACGCUGGCGGCGUGCCUAAUACAUGCAAGUCGAGCGACGGAUAAGGAGCUUGCUCCUUUGAAGUUAGCGGCGGACGGGUGAGUAACACGUGGGUACCUACCUAUAAGACUGGAAUAACUUCGGGAAACCGGAGCUAAUGCCGGAUAACAUAUAGAACCGCAUGGUUCUAUAGUGAAAGAUGGUUUUGCUAUCACUUAUAGAUGGACCCGCGCCGUAUUAGCUAGUUGGUAAGGUAAUGGCUUACCAAGGCGACGAUACGUAGCCGACCUGAGAGGGUGAUCGGCCACACUGGAACUGAGACACGGUCCAGACUCCUACGGGAGGCAGCAGUAGGGAAUCUUCCGCAAUGGGCGAAAGCCUGACCCACGCCGCGUGAGUGAUGAAGGUUUUCGAGUAAAACUCUGUUAUUAGGGAAGAACAAAUGCGUAAGUAACUGUGCGCAUCUUGCGGUACCUAAUCAGGAGCCCGAAGGGGGUUAAAA